UUCAGAAAAUAUUUUCUUCAUCAUGAUUUGGUGAGAGACAUUGUGAUUGUGAAGUUCCAGAGAGGGAAGGAGGCGAUUUCUACCAAGAGCUCCCCACAUCAGUAAAAUCACAGGAAACCAGAGCAGGUCUUUGGAUCUGGUCAAGACCAAGCUGGCCUCUUUCCUUCUGACUCAAAAACACUCGACAAUGUUCUUUUCUUCUUAGUGAACUUAAAAAAAAAACAGUUCUUCAUUUGCAAAAGGAAAGAAUAGCAACAGAUCCUGCUGGUACAGUGCUCUGAGGCUGGCAACGUUUUGCUUUCCUCCUAACAACUUGGUGAGAUUUUUUGAAGUAGAUGUGGCUCAUCCCCAUCCCACUCUCCUCCUUGUCCCCGCCCCAGCCCCAGACACAUCGGUCCUGGCCCACACUGCUGCUGCUUCUUACUGCAAAUGCCCUUUCCCCGAAGUGCUGGCUGAUUGCUGAACAGGAAACUUCACUUUGGAUCACCAUGGCAUUAGCCCAUUGGAAGGAAAUCAAGGUGAGGGGUAAUGAGGCACAAAUGAGCUAUUUAAAGCCAAAAUCUGCCUUUUCCAACUUGGAGACUUGGGUCCUUCCCUCCCUUUGACUUCAGGGGAAACUGGGGCCCAGCUUGAGAAGAAAGAAUUUGGCCCUUCCUGGGAGGGUAGUAUAUUGUUCAAAGACUGGCCUUCUGGGCCUAUCCCAAAGCCUCUGGAAGCAGGAGGGCCUUGUCUGGGUCUCCAUCCACAGGCGAGUAGUCUUUUUCACUUUAGUUAUUCCUUUUCCAUAAUUGCUUCCGAUUUUAUCUGGUCCUCCAUCUCACUCCGGUGGGAGUGAUGGAAAGGAAUGGCUGGAGCCGAGUGCAUUAUUACUCUUCCUGUUUGUCUCACUUUUCCCCAUCUCCACCCGUCUCCCCCCAGACAUCCUUGGUUUAUUCACAUAGCCCAGUGAAAAGACUGGGAGCCAGAGGAGCCGGGUUGGACCGUGUCUGUUUUGCCAUAUAUCGGUGUCCACUUCCUUGAGCUUCAAUUUCCUUGACUAUAAGAUAAGGAGAACGAACAAGGUAGUCUCUGAAAUUUAAUGCUCAUAUGCCAUAAUUCCUAUCCAUGGGCUGCCAUCUUAGAUCAUUAGCUACCCUAAUACAGCAACGUCUCAACAAUCUACAACUAAGUUUUUACUGUGGGUGCUUUGUUAUAUUCCCCAAAAUACCAUCUGGCAGGGUGAUAGUGUAGAUGGUGAUGUCUGCUAUAAGUUGCUAGCAUUUAGCACAUACUGGGUG